AAGAGUUUGAUCCUGGCUCAGAACGAACGCUAGCGGCAUGCUUAACACAUGCAAGUCGAGCGUAAGUUAAUACUUGGUAACAACUAUUAAUGAAAGCGGCGAACGGGUGAGUAACGCGUGGAUUACGUGCCUCUAGGUUUGGAAUAACUUGUUGAAAGACCAGCUAAUACCAAAUAUUUCCAUAAAAUCAUAUGGGGAAAGCAAAAAAGUGCCUAUUGAGCGGUCUGCGUUCUAUCAGCUUGUUGGUGAGGUAAAGGCUCACCAAGGCUAUGACGGAUAACUGGUUUGAGAGGAUGAUCAGUCACACUGGGACUGAGACACGGCCCAGACUCCUAUGGGAGGCAGCAGUGAGGAAUAUUGGUCAAUGGGCGAAAGCCUGAACCAGCAAUGUCGCGUGGGUGAUGAAGGCCUUUGGGUUGUAAAACUCUGUCAGAAAGGAAGAAGAGUCAUAUUAUUAUGAUUUUGACGGUACUUUCAAAGGAAGCACCGGCUAACUCUGUGCCAGCAGCCGCGGUAAUACAGAGGGUGCAAGUGUUGUUCGGAAUAGCUGGGCGUAAAGAGCAUGUAGGCGGAAUUAUUAGUCAAAAGUGAAAUCCCUUGGCUCAACCAAGGAACUGCAUUUGAUACUGUUUUUCUAGAGUACCGGAGGGGGUGGCGGAAUUUUCGGUGUAGAGGUAAAAUUCGUAGAUAUCGAAAAGA
rnacentral:rRNA from 1 species